UUUUUGUUAAAUGGAAAAAUUUAAUGUUUUAUUAAAAUGGGUUUCUAGUGUAAUUAUUUUUAUGUCUUGGUGUCAAGGUUAUAUAGAAAAAACAUUCACUGGGUGGGCACGGUGGCUCACGCCUAUAAUCCCAGCACUUGGGGAGGCUGGGGCAGGUGAAUCACUUGAGGUCAGGAGUUUGAGACCAGCCUGAAUUGGGAGAAAUGUUUAUUUGCCUAAUAUUUUAUAAUCUUUGACAUCCUCU
rnacentral:lncRNA from 10 species